GAUGAACGCUGGCGGCGUGCCUAAUACAUGCAAGUCGAGCGAACAGACGAGGAGCUUGCUCCUUCGACGUUAGCGGCGGACGGGUGAGUAACACGUAGGUAACCUACCUAUAAGACUGGGAUAACUUCGGGAAACCGGAGCUAAUACCGGAUAAUAUUUCGAACCGCAUGGUUCGAUAGUGAAAGAUGGCUUUGCUAUCACUUAUAGAUGGACCUGCGCCGUAUUAGCUAGUUGGUAAGGUAACGGCUUACCAAGGCAACGAUACGUAGCCGACCUGAGAGGGUGAUCGGCCACACUGGAACUGAGACACGGUCCAGACUCCUACGGGAGGCAGCAGUAGGGAAUCUUACGCAAAGGGCGAAAGCCUGACGGAGCAACGCCGCGUGAGUGAUGAAGGUCUUCGGAUCGUAAAACUCUGUUAUUAGGGAAGAACAAACGUGUAAGUAACUGUGCACGUCUUGACGGUACCUAAUCAGAAAGCCACGGCUAACUACGUG
rnacentral:rRNA from 1 species